CCUACGGGAGGCAGCAGUGGGGAAUAUUGCACAAUGGGCGCAAGCCUGAUGCAGCGACGCCGCGUGAGGGAUGACGGCCUUCGGGUUGUAAACCUCUUUCAGUAGGGAAGAAGCGAGAGUGACGGUACCUGCAGAAGAAGCGCCGGCUAACUACGUGCCAGCAGCCGCGGUAAUACGUAGGGCGCAAGCGUUAUCCGGAUUUAUUGGGCGUAAAGAGCUCGUAGGCGGUUUGUCGCGUCUGCCGUGAAAGUCCGAGGCUCAACCUCGGAUCUGCGGUGGGUACGGGCAGACUAGAGUGAUGUAGGGGAGACUGGAAUUCCUGGUGUAGCGGUGAAAUGCGCAGAUAUCAGGAGGAACACCGAUGGCGAAGGCAGGUCUCUGGGCAUUUACUGACGCUGAGGAGCGAAAGCAUGGGGAGCGAACAGGAUUAGAUACCCUGGUAGUCCAUGCCGUAAACGUUGGGCACUAGGUGUGGGGGACAUUCCACGUUUUCCGCGCCGUAGCUAACGCAUUAAGUGCCCCGCCUGGGGAGUACGGCCGCAAGGCUAAAACUCAAAGGAAUUGACGG
rnacentral:rRNA from 1 species